UACAAACUACUGUGCCAGGACUGAGAAACCUAUUGCAGUCCUUUGAACCUGUGGCGACUUUCAUUUUGAUGUGUUAGCAUUAGAGGCAGCAGAUUUCACGAUAACUAAAGCCAUUCUUCACCUAACACUUGGCACAUACCCACGGAUGCUGACUAGAAAAAAAUUGGUGCUGGCAGAAGCACUCAGACUUGCUUCAGUGACAACAACCCACAGCUUGACACAGACUCAUAUGCCUGACAAGAAAGAAGCCACCAAGAACUUCAGAUGCAUAAUUAAUGGAACCGUGGCUUUAGACGAUGCUGGACUAAUACUGUCUUCAAAGUUUUCCAGAAUGAAAGGAAGUGCUUUGGAAGAAAACCAAAACAUUCAGGCUGUGGGGUUCUCCCUUACCACCAGUCUGCUUGCUAUACGUGGCUUUCCAGGACCCCGAGCACGGAGGAGCCUGGCCAUUUGGGGCUGUUAGCACUUUGAACCCAACCAAAACAGUAAUCACCACACGGCUGUUUUGUAUGGUUUGGGUUUGUAUUGCAUCCAGUAAAGUUCCUUGUGAAGAAUCAAAAUCUAAGUACAUUAACUGACUGGCCUCCAACACUCUGUUACCGUCCUCACGCAUGAGUGAUUCAGCCACCCGUGACACCUUCUACUGUGCCUCCAUCAUAAAUGAGGUAGCGGGUACAAGCUGCGCUGCCCCUCCUACCGCAGGCUUUGAACUCGGAGUCUCCUCCCACGAGUGCUUCUGCUUUCCUCCAAGGCCCCACACCAUCGCACAGGCCGCUGCUGUAAGGGUCCUUUCUCUAGAAAGCUUUCCUAAAUUUGCUUGUCAGCAGGCGGGUGGGCUUCCCGGGAGUG